UACAGAGGUCCCAAGCGUUGUUCGGAUUCAUUGGGCGUAAAGGGUGCGUAGGUGGCGCUGUAAGUCGGGUGUGAAAUUUCGGAGCUUAACUCCGAAACUGCAUUCGAUACUGCGGUGCUCGAGGACUGGAGAGGAGACUGGAAUUCCCGGUGUAGCGGUGAAAUGCGUAGAGAUGUGGAGGAACACCAGUGGCGAAGGCGACUCUUUGGCCUGUAACUGACACUGAGGCGCGAAAAGCGUGGGGAGCAAACAGG
rnacentral:rRNA from 1 species